CGGGAAACUGGGGAUAAUACCGGAUAUAUGGAGAUGCCUGGAAUGGUACUCCACUUAAAGCUCCGGCGCCUAAGGAUGGCUCUGCGGCCGAUUAGGUCGUUGGUGGGGUAAUGGCCCACCAAGCCUAUAAUCUGUACGGGUUGUGAGAGCAAGAGCCCGGAGAUGGAACCUGAGACACGGUUCCAGGCCCUACGGGGCGCAGCAGGCGCGAAACCUCCGCAAUGCGAGCAAUCGCGACGGGGGGACCCCAAGUGCGACUCUGAACGGGGUGGCUGUUCUUAAGUGUAAAAAGCUGUUGGAGUAAGGGCUGGGCAAGACCGGUGCCAGCCGCCGCGGUAAUA
rnacentral:rRNA from 1 species